CCCAACAAAUGAAAAGGAAUUGCAGUUAACUUUGAUGCUACUGAAACAAGCGUUGCAUCUCUGCUAUGGUUUUUUAUCUGUUAGCUUUACAUCUUGGAAACUGUUAUAGUUAAUUAAUUAAGGUCUCAUUUUGGAGGAACAUUAGAAGCACUCCAGUUGUCAUUAAAUUAUGGAGCUUAGGUUGUGUCAGUCCUCCAUUGCUUUAGAAGGUAGUUGUACCUAUGGCCCUGAAGAGAGUAUGAAAAUGUAUUUUUUUCAUUGGGAAUGGGGGCAGUGUGCUGUUGUUGCAGAAAGGAUUUAUGACAAUGAACUGGUAUGUAAUAGUAUCAAGUAG